GACGAACGCUGGCGGCGUGCUUAACACAUGCAAGUCGAACGGAAAGGCCCUGCUUUUGUGGGGUGCUCGAGUGGCGAACGGGUGAGUAACACGUGAGUAACCUGCCCUUGACUUUGGGAUAACUUCAGGAAACUGGGGCUAAUACCGGAUAGGAGCUCCUGCUGCAUGGUGGGGGUUGGAAAGUUUCGGCGGUUGGGGAUGGACUCGCGGCUUAUCAGCUUGUUGGUGGGGUAGUGGCUUACCAAGGCCUUGACGGGUAGCCGGCCUGAGAGGGUGACCGGCCACAUUGGGACUGAGAUACGGCCCAGACUCCUACGGGAGGCAGCAGUGGAGAAUAUUGCACAAUGGGCGGAAGCCUGAUGCAGCAACGCCGCGUGCGGGAUGACGGCCUUCGGGUUGUAAACCGCUUUCGCCUGUGACGAAGCGUGAGUGACGGUAAUGGGUAAAGAAGCACCGGCUAACUACGUG
rnacentral:rRNA from 1 species